UCUUUGCUAGUAUAUCGGUUAGUACACGCGCCUGUCAUCUUGAUUAUUGCGCGCGAAAGCUGGGUUCGACUCCCAGGCAAAGAG